AUCUAGGCUCUUGCAUCGAUGAAGAACGUAGCGAAAUGCGAUACUUGGUGUGAAUUGCAGAAUCCCGUGAACCAUCGAGUCUUUGAACGCAAGUUGCGCCCGAUGCCAUUAGGUUGAGGGCACGUCUGCCUGGGUGUCACAUAUCGAAGCCUCAUGCCAAUUUC
rnacentral:rRNA from 2 species